ACAGAUAUUCAGGGAGAAAAGGGGAGCAGCCGGUGGAGAAACAGCAAGUGUGGAUGGUGGGUCCACGAGGCAGAAUCUGAACUACAGCAUCUGUCUGGACAGCAGGAGGCUUGGAGCAGAUGAGAGUUUAUCUGUGACAUCACCACAGUGAGAAGAAAGCAGACGUGCUUCCGUUGCAAGUGUACACAUGUUUUAUGGACCAACGAGCAAGUUCCUGGGAUCUUGAAUUUCCUUUUACAUUCUGUCUUUGGUCUAGCAGGCUGCCAUCUUCUUGCUUCAGAAUGAAUAGGAAUCAUUAAGCUUCAUGAGGCUGCUUCCAGUUAAGUCAAACAAAACAACACCGUCUUUAGUCAAAGGACACUAAGCUGCAACAUAGCACAGUUGGUCACGUGGACUUAAAGUGCGAAGGUGUCUUUUGAAGGAGUGUGGGCAUAUUGCUGAAUCUCUCUGAGUUUUCCUGGUUUCUUUGUACAAUGAGUACACCAAUCAUUGCCCAGCACAGGGCCACCGUGAGAACCAAAUCCGAUUGUGCAUGAGAAAGCUCCUUGGAGACUGUACAACAGCCAACACUAGUAAGACAUCAAGCCAGCAUGGAGCCAAGGAUACAAGUGCUAAAUGGGAUGUGGAAGGAGUGACAAGUCUUGAGAUAAUUUCUGUGGCGUUGAGUUUCAAAUCCCUCCUCCAGCUCAGGAUGUCAGAUAAACCUUUUGCUUAUCUCCAACUGUUCUUGGGUUGCAAUACAAUAAUGGACAUGGCCUCGGUCCACCGGAUAAAUUGGAACAAAAAGAACUCAGUUCCCUAAAGGAAGGUCUCACUGCAUGUAAGGUAUUUAGAAGUAACCUGUUUUGCUUUCCAAAUCAUGAGCCUCUAGCUUAUCUCUGUGGAUCGGGACUUCUCCCUCUUUCCUGGCCUUGCUUAGGCAGUGCUCUGUAGACCCACAAUCUGGACGGCCAUGCUGGGUAAUCCAGAUCUCAGCAAAUAUUUGUCUCGGUGAUCUAACCCCAUUCUCACAUUUUCCCGGUUAUUCCUGUUGUGUACUCUGAGGCAGACGUUUGCCAGAUUUAGUUAGGAGUUUGGCAAGGACGGGCAUGCCAGUGUGCUAGCUCGGGUGUAGAACUAACUGGGUUGGAUCUAAAGUCCUCUAUGGAUUGGGACUUAACUCUCUUCUAAAUUGCUAGAUUUUGGCAUAAUCCAAGUGGAACUGAGGGGCAGGAACAGUGGAAAGAAAAAGUAGGGAGAAGGGAAUAGAGAGGAGUCUUUUGGAGACUUGAGGCAGCAGCAAUUUGCUAACUGGAGAGAAGUAUUUCGGUGUGCUAGUAUUGGAGUACAUCUCUGAAGGCUCACAGACCUGCUGCAGCCUCGUGUUUGAUUUCUGAACACUUUCUCUUGUAAUUCACAUCAACAAAACUUUAUUAGUCAACACACAGUGCUGGAGUCUACAGCAGGUACAGAGAACCAGAAAUGAACAAAGAUAUUACCUGAGGGAAUUCUGAAGAACAAAGUGGAGGCACGAUGGUUCAGGGAAUCCCCGAGACUGGUGUGGAGACAGAACCAAAGAGCUGGAGAAGGUGUGUUCCUACGAGAAAGGACACACCUCUGUAGACUGGCAAAUACAAUAAAUGCAAGUAGUGGGCCUAGCAUUGAGGGACAACACAAACGAGAGUAGGGGAAGGCAGUUUUGAACUUUUCUUAAAAGAGGAUCUUAUGCUAAAGCCGAAAAUGUAAGAUUUUUCAGCUAAGGCAGAUAUGGGGUGAGCCAUACAUUGGAAAGAUAGGACUCUAGGAACACGGACUGGGACCCAUUGGUGCAAAGGCCCUUGAAAACCACUUCAUGACCAGUUCAGGAUGCCCAGAUGCAAGACUUCAGAUUCAUGGGGUCUUGAGAGGGUCUUUGGUUCAUAUCUAGCUAAACAAAAUUCAGGACAACUGUUCUGUUGUCAAAGGAGCAAAACAGAUGGGACCAAUUUACACAUUUUUCCCAAAAGUUAACUCUAUGGGCAAACUAAAUCACAACCAGAAACCGUGUUAUUAAUUUACUAUGAGAAAUCACGUUCGGUGGUCUGAAAACAGUCAAGGUCUGAAUUGUCGACACUCUCUGUCCAUACGUGCAUACAUAUAUGAGGGACGUAACUAGAAGGAAUUAACACAGAGUGGGAAUGGAAGUUUUAAAAAUUGGGGAUGCAGGGAUGAGCUCAGCAGCUAAGGGCACUUGCCUGGUAUUCUGGAGCACAGGAGGUCACGUGGGAUGGAUCACAGCUCAGUUCUAGAGGAUCCGGCAUUGUCUUUGGUCUCUGGAAGGCAUGCACAUACAUGCCAUGCGUUUACAUGCACACACACGCUCACAUGCUCACACACACACACACAUGCAUGUAAGUAAAAAAAAAAAAAAAAGUAAAAAAUUUCAAAUCUUUCAGCACACCAGGCUAACAUAUUCUGGCAUUUUUGUUUUCUAAGUCAGUGGACUCCAAACCUUGCUGAUCGUGUACUUCGACUGAGAGAAAGCAGAGGGAACCCAGUUCCUUGAUAUUUACAUGAUCAUAUAAGAAUCACGUGGAGUCACUAACAAUUUAAAUAGUAAAUAUUUAUAAAACUAUAUUUAAAAUUGAGGAGUCUAGUAGUUUCUCUCAUUACAACGGGCAGACAUUGAUUCAGUACCUCAGCGCUUCCUUUGUGUGAGUCUUUGCUAGACAAGCUCAGAGCAUACUGCAGUGUAAAACGUGGAAGGCGAGUAACAGCAUUUCUCCGCUGUGUGUAUUAAGAUUAUCAAAUACCUCACAAGUGCCUGUUGUCCUCCCAAACUGUAGCGACCACGUGGUCACACCCUCCAAACUUCGUGUUCAUCCUUUAACAUUAAUACGGUUGAAGAACACGCUGCUUGCCCUCCUUUCACGAAAAUAUCAUGAUCAUGAAAAGUUCCAAAGGCAUCAAACAGAGGCGCAAAUAACUUCUACCAGAACUGGGAUUAAGCUGGCUUCUUAUAGAAACCCUUUGGAUUCAUUUUACAGUUUUAGUUUUCUUCUUUGAUAGGACUUUCCCUUCAGUAACAGACAUGUCUCAGCACGUCUGUAAUUCCAGCACUUGGGGAGGCAGAGGUAGGAGGAUAUCUCUGAGUUCGAGGCCAGCCUGGUCUACAAAGUGAGUCCAGGACAGCCAAGGAUACACAGAGAAAUCCUGUCUUGGGGGGGGCAAACCAAACCAAACCAAAAAACAACGGACAUGCCUCACCAGUUUGUAAAGUAUGCAUGAGAAACUUUGCUCCUUUGCAAUCAUUUCCAUUUUAUCAUCCGAUUAGCAUCUUCUCAUAGUCAAUGAAUUAUGUCUUUUUGACUGCCCCCCAAAACACAUGGAGCAUAGAUUUCUAUGUAUAGCAACUGGAUAGUACAUUGGAUUCAGGGACAUAUGCACUUUCUAUACUUUCCAGAGCCCUGUAUUUUUUGGACUAGAAAUAUAAGAUUGAUUUAUUAAAAUAAACAACAACCAAACAAGACAAGGGAAGCUUAUUUCACUGCUUAUCAAUUGAGCUAAAAAAAGUCAAUAAAAUUUAACAUUUUAAAUGUGGUUAAUCAGAUUGGUUGUGAAGUUUUUUUUUUUUAUUUUUCAACUUCUGCUUAUUUUGCUUAUUUGUGGCCCAGGCUGGCUUUGAAUUUGUGAGCUUUCUGUCUCAUCCCCCUAAGGCUAGGCAUAUGACAUCACAAUGAGCUUAUGAAAAACAAUAAUCUGAUUAAAAAGUACUGAGCCGGGAGUUGAGAGUGAAGCCCCUGCUCUGCACAUCUAAAUAAACUCUCUGAAUAAAUUAUCAGUUGCUUAUUAAACACAAUAUGGUCAUGAAUAAUGAUUCGAAUCUUCAAAUGCUGCCUUUCCUUCCUCCACCAACUUAAUCCACGGCAAGCCCAUAACUGGCCACCUGUUCUGCAGCUGGAGUCCUCAAGCAAGGGAGUCCGACAGCACCCGAAGAGGGUCAGCGAGAUGGUUCCACGUGGCAGUCGAAACAAGAAUCGGAAUAAAGAAGAGUCCUGCUCUGCACUCAAGAGGAAGGGGUGCUUGAUGAAGGUCCAAGAAAGGUCAGGAUAAGACCUUCCUUUCUGGAGCCUCCCCACCUCCGGUCUAUUAGCAUCUGAUUAGAUUAUUUUGUCCAAUCAAAUUUAUACACAACUGACUUCAAAAACUGAAGAAGAUAGAAGGAGGAGGAAGAGGAGAAGAGGGAGGAAAAGAAAAAGGAGAGGGGG